rnacentral:rRNA from 1 species
GACGAACCGUGCGAACGUUGUUCGGAAUCACUGGGCUUAAAGGGCGCGUAGGCGGGGUGGCAAGUCUGUGGUGAAAUCCUCCGGCUCAACCGGAGAACUGCCGUGGAUACUGCCAUUCUCGAGGGGUGUAGGGGCAUGUGGAACUCAGGGUGGAGCGGUGAAAUGCGUAGAUAUCAGGAGGAACACCGGUGGCGAAGGCGGGUCUCUGGGCAGUAACUGACGCUGAGGAGCGAAAGCGUGGGUAGCAAACAGG